rnacentral:rRNA from 1 species
GACAGAGGCCACGAACGUUGUUCGGAAUCACUGGGCAUAAAGCGCACGUAGGCGGCUGGGUCCGUCGGAUGUGAAAGCCCCCGGCUCAACCGGGGAAUUGCAUCCGAUACAGCCCGGCUUGAGGACGGUUGGGGUGAGUGGAACUCCUGGUGGAGCGGUGAAAUGCGUAGAUAUCAGGAGGAACACCGGUGGCGAAGGCGGGUCUCUGGGCUGUAACUGACGCUGAGGAGCGAAAGCGUGGGGAGCGAACAGG